ensembl:lncRNA
ACUGUGCUCCUCCUCCCGUCACUUUUCCCCAUGGAAACCUUGACUUGCAACUCGAUUUUGCUGCAGCUUUUUUUGUUUCUUCAAAAUUUUCAAUGCAACUUGUGGGGUUUUUUUCCCCUUUUUUUUGCAGAAAACCUCUUGAAUUGGCGAACUUGAAAUUGCACGAAUUUGUUUAGCAUGGUCAAUCAAAGUCAUGUUUCUUUGUACAUGAGACCUUUUAGCUGUACUCACGUUUGAUGCAUGUGAACCAAAGAGAGCUCUGGCUGAAUGUGCAUUGUGAUGAUGUCACAUGGCGCGACUUGGCCCAAAUCUGCGCAAAAUCUGCGGUAAUUUAGAAAAAUUGCAAAUUCCUCAGAAUAUUUUGGAGCUUGCUUGAUUUUGCUUCAUUUCUCUGAUCGCAAAUUUGCAAAAUCCUGGAAUGACUGUUAUCGCUGUGUUAAUGUGUAGUGUGUGAGUAGUGUGUAAAUUUGUAUUUUGUUGAAUGAGGACAUCCUGUUUUUUAGUUGAAUGAGGACAUCCAGAUCUAAUUUACUUGGCAGAGAUAUGAUCAAUGACGUUAGCUUGUUAACUGCUAAAAGAAUGCUUUUAUUUAUCCUGAUGGGUACGAACAUAUUUCAUUCCAAGAGGUGGCAAAGGGAGAGAAGAGCAUCAUCAGUCAGACAGAAAAGAGGAAGUUGGAGAUGGGCUUGAAUCAACUCAAAACAUUUCUUUAUUUUCCCUUUUCCGCUGUUCAGCAUUUUCACACACAUACACACACAGACGUGCUUAUACUGAUCAAGAUGCAAGAUGGUGCCAGUGUAUCUGUCAGCAUGCUGUCGUUCUUGUCUUUCCCGUGUAUUACAGUUUGUUGUAUCUGUUGUCUGUUCAUCUGGCAUCUGUGCUGUUUUUACUUUUCGUCGUGCCACACUGGUAUCGUAUAGACUCAGUGUUGACCUAUGAUCGUCAAGCUUUGCUCAACAUCAAAAGCUGUAUGGUAGCUCAUCUGGGAUUUGGUCCUGCUCUGCAUUCUCAUUGUCAAUCCUCAUCUUGCCAACCCGCAUCGGAGUGCGCUCGCUGGCUACCUUGCUGUGUUCCUCCUCUAAGGAAAGUGCCACAGGAAGAGAGGGAAUCAUGGUGGUGUUUGGAUUUCCUACACUCAUCUAAUUGCUCUGUUCCUCCACGAUUACGGAUUCGUCAUAGAGGAGUAGACUGUUUAAAUCUCUGCCAACUGGAAUGCGUUCAACCGGAUCUGGCCUCGUUACCUCAGUCUCCUCUGAAUAUGACCCUAGUUAAUGCUAGGUCUGUGUGCAACAAAAUGUUUAUUUGAUAUGACUUUUAUAGCAUGAGUUAUAGCAUGGGAGCAGCAGUGAGACAUCAAGAACCAUCCCUGAACAAAGGGCUACGUGACUGUAUUUAGCAUUCAGAAAGACAUCUGUCUCGCAAGCUCUACCACCUCAACAUUUGGGGUUACACCUGUAACAACAUCUGUACUGUGAGAACGGAAAGCGAUCACAUCAAAUGCUAUCCUUAAUUUACGUUGAGAAUGAAACUUCAUUUACAUUACAAACAGAAAACCUGGUUUGAAACACAGUAUAAAAUGUCUGUGCUGAUACUGUUCGGAGUUCACUUUGACGCCGACGAACCCAAAGUGCUUCAUGUACUUUGUCCCUUCCAUGCUGUAAUAAAGUUCUUUUUCUUUGAGAUCUUCGACAUCCUCUUCAUUUCUUCGGACAGUGGUGUUUUUUUUUCAGCAGUUAGUCUUUAUUUACAAAUGUCCUAGAAAGAUUUGCACU